UCUUAUCCAGAGAGGUGGAGGGACUGGCCCGAUGAAACCCGGCAACCUGCUUACUGCAAGGUGCUAAUUCCAGCAAAAUGUUGAUUCAUUUUGAAAGAUAAGG
rnacentral:ncRNA from 1 species